rnacentral:rRNA from 1 species
UACAGAGGUCUCGAGCGUUAGGCGGAAUCACUGGGCUUAAAGCGUGUGUAGGCGGAUUGGUAAGUACUUUGUGAAAUCCCACGGCUUAACCGUGGAACUGCUUGGUAUACUGGUUGUCUUGGGCCAUCUAGGGGCUAGCGGAACAAACGGUGGAGCGGUGAAAUGCGUAGAUAUCGUUUGGAACGCCAAUGGUGAAAACAGCUAGCUGGGGAUGUGCCGACGCUGAGACACGAAAGCCAGGGGAGCGAACGGG